rnacentral:rRNA from 1 species
GAUGAACGCUGGCGGCGUGCCUAAUACAUGCAAGUCGAGCGAACAGACGAGGAGCUUGCUCCUCUGACGUUAGCGGCGGACGGGUGAGUAACACGUGGAUAACCUACCUAUAAGACUGGGAUAACUUCGGGAAACCGGGGCUAAUACCGGAUAAUAUAUUGAACCGCAGGGUUCAAUAGUGAAAGACGGUUUUGCUGUCACUUAUAGAUGGAUCCGCGCCGCAUUAGCUAGUUGGUAAGGUAACGGCUUACCAAGGCGACGAUGCGUAGCCGACCUGAGAGGGUGAUCGGCCACACUGGAACUGAGACACGGUCCAGACUCCUACGGGAGGCAGCAGUAGGGAAUCUUCCGCAAUGGGCGAAAGCCUGACGGAGCAACGCCGCGUGAGUGAUGAAGGUCUUCGGAUCGUAAAACUCUGUUAUUAGGGAAGAACAAAUGUGUAAGUAACUAUGCACGUCUUGACGGUACCUAAUCAGAAAGCCACGGCUAACUACGUG